UUUCUUUAACGCUUCCCAUCUUAUGGUUUGUUUGGUUGACAUGAUACAUGCAGUUGCAUAGAGACCCAAAUGUUCUCUUUGCCAGGUAUAAGCUCCCUCACCCACUCCAGUACAAGAUCAUUGUUAGGAUCCACACAACGAGCCAGUCCUCCCCGACGCAGGCCUACACCCAGGCUAUCAAUGAUCUAGACAAAGAGAUUGAGUACCUUAAGCAAGCUUUUGAGACACCAACAGACCAUCAUUGAACCUUUUCUACUUUAUGAUACAAAGAUGUGAACUAUGGACUACUUGAUGAACUACUAGAUGUUCAACACAGGAAUGCCUUUGGCAAAAUUUGCAUAUUCACUC